rnacentral:rRNA from 1 species
AACCUGCUGCUGGAUCAUUACCU